UACGUAGGGGGCAAGCGUUGUCCGGAUUUAUUGGGCGUAAAGAGCGUGUAGGCGGCCAUUCAGGUCAGCUGUGAAAACUCGAGGCUCAACCUCGAGACGUCGGUUGAAACCGUAUGGCUAGAGUCCGGAAGAGGAGAGUGGAAUUCCCGGUGUAGCGGUGAAAUGCGCAGAUAUCGGGAAGAACACCCAUGGCGAAGGCGAGCUCUCUGGGACGGUACUGGACGCUGAGACGCGAAAGCGUGGGGGAGCGAAC
rnacentral:rRNA from 1 species